CCUACGGGAGGCAGCAGUGAGGAAUAUUGGUCAAUGGGCGCGAGCCUGAACCAGCCAAGUAGCGUGAAGGAUGACUGCCCUACGGGUUGUAAACUUCUUUUAUAAAGGAAUAAAGUGAGGUACGUGUGCCUUUCUGUAUGUAUCUUAUGAAUAAGGAUCGGCUAACUCCGUGCCAGCAGCCGCGGUAAUACGGAGGAUCCGAGCGUUAUCCGGAUUUAUUGGGUUUAAAGGGAGCGUAGAUGGGUGGUUAAGUCAGUUGUGAAAGUUUGCGGCUCAACCGUAAAAUUGCAUUUGAUACUGGCAGGCUUGAGUACAGUUGAGGUAGGCGGAAUUCGUGGUGUAGCGGUGAAAUGCUUAGAGAUCACGAAGAACUCCGAUUGCGAAGGCAGCCUACUAAGCUACCGCUGACAUUGAGGCUCGAAAGUGUGGGUAGCAAACAGGAUUAGAUACCCGGGUAGUC
rnacentral:rRNA from 1 species